rnacentral:rRNA from 1 species
UACGUAGGUGGCAAGCGUUGUCCGGAAUUAUUUGGGCGUAAAGCGCGCGCAGGCGGUCCUUUAAGUCUGAUGUGAAAGCCCACGGCUCAACCGUGGAGGGUCAUUGGAAACUGGGGGACUUGAGUACAGAAGAGGAAAGCGGGAAUUCCACGUGUAGCGGUGAAAUGCGUAGAGAUGUGGAGGAACACCAGUGGCGAAGGCGGCUUUCUGGUCUGUAACUGACGCUGAGGCGCGAAAGCGUGGGGAGCAAACAGG